GAGAAGGAGUUCCUGGGGGGAUUCCUCAUAUUUUCACCAAAAAGCCAAGUGGGUCCAUUUGGGCUCCCUCUUGUCAUAGUGAGGCACCUGCAUUACAGAAAAGUGCACAGCCCAGGAUUGUGGCCAGAAGGCCAUGUUGCUGAGACAUUCUCUAUUGGCAUCAGUCUUAUGCUCAUAUGAGAAAGAAUUCUUCUAAACUUUGAGUUGAAAGUGGGGUUGAAAUAAUUUCUCAGUGAACAAGUCUGCGUUGAGUUGUUUUGUCUCAUCUUUUUACACCUAUAAUGCAUCAUCCCAGUCACACAGUCUUGUCUAAAGAACCAUUAUCCUCGGCAGGAAUUCAUAUGUGUGUCCUUUCUAUUGCCAUCAAGAACACACAACUGAACUGAUUGCACUCAGUCCUCACUCAAAAAUAAUGUGUUUGAAAAAUGUGGGUUUGGUGAAAAUGGGAGAGGUGUGGUGUUUUGAGAACAAUUCCUUGUUUUGUUUUGAAAACAUUCUGUCAGGGUCACCACCAAAUACUUAAACCCAGUAAGAGAGGAAUGCAUUGAGAAUUCUGAUUAACUCUGAUCUUGUCACCUCAGUUUUCUCUUUUUUUUUCUUUUCCUUCAUGUCUCCCUAUUCAUUUUCCUACAACAUCAGCUAUAGUGUAGGUAUAGAAACUAAGCCAGACAGACCACCCCUGAUUCCAUUGCCACAAAAGAAAGAUUUAUCUGGUUGAAGUGCUUCCAGUGAGGAAUUCUGAAGCCCAGAACCUUCUUACAAUUCUGAGGAAUCUUCUGUAAUCCCACCUUUGCAUCUGCAACUCCAUAGAUCUUUCCUUGUCUCUCUAUAUAUUCCAUCAUUUUUCUUGAGGCUACUAUAACUUCUCUCAGAACUUCAGAAAAAAGAGGAAGGCAUAAUUUUUUAAAAUUCAUUUAUCAGUUUAUUUUUAUUAUUUGCAGUAUUGGGAAUUGAACCCAGGGUGUCACUCUACUGGGAGAUACAUCCUCAGCCCAUUUACUAUGUUUAAUUUUAUUUGAGACAAGGUCUCACUAGGUUCUCCAGACUGACUUUGUGAUCCUCCUAUAUCAGACUCCCGAGUAGCUGGAAUUACAGACAGGUGUGGGACAAAUCUUGAUUUGCCACAUCAAAGUGAACUGAGUAACAGGAGAUACUGGCUAUGCAGGUUACAGGACAGGAGCAUUUCUGGGAUUGCAUAUGGGAUAUACUCCGAGCAAGGGCUUCUAACCUUUUCAAAGUGAAGUUGCUAGAUCCUGCCCCUUCCUCUUGGAUAUGCCAUAGGCCAUGUGGUGUCAGUAGGGCUGGAAGGGAAAUGGGUAAUGUGAAUUCUCAUCCACUGGGUCCUGUACAGCAUGCUAGCCAAGGCGAAUAUACAAGCCCAAACAUAUGAC
rnacentral:lncRNA from 1 species